AUGGGCCCUAGGACCUUUCCCAGGUGAAGCCGCUACUCUAUCACCGAGAUACAGCCUCAGAGAGUUUUAGUACUUGCUUUGAGACAGGCUCUCACUAAGUUGUUCAGGCUGGUUUUGAACUUGCAGUCAUCUUGGCUUAACCUCUGGAGUAGCUGUGAUCGCGGAACUGUGUCAGCAGAGCCAGAUAUGUUAAUCUCUAGGCUCUAUGUGUAUAUUUCUAAUCCUUCUUACUCUGCUCACUAUUUCUACACUUUCUCUAAUUUUUCAGGUGUUGCUCAAGUCUUAGAGUGGACAGUGAAGAGAAUAUUCUGAGUAGCUACUGGGGAAGGCUAUUUAUCGAUAUGCUUUUAUGUCUGUUCUACUUCGAUGGGUGAUCUGGGAGAGUCUGCUUUUCCAAGUCUCUUUACCUCACAAAGUUUCAAGAGAAAGGAAGAUACAAACCUGGGCAUGGCUAACACAUUGGCUGUGGACAGAUCUCACUCGUGAACCUGGCAAAGCAGCAGGGGCCUUGGAUUUGUGGAGGGAGCUCUGUGGAUUCUGGCACCUGGAAUUUAAAUGACUGUUAGUUUUCUUUACUUAUCUGUUGUCCCUCUUCCAUAAAAGCAUCCUAGACUGGGUUAAUGAGUGAAUGUUAAGCCAUGUAAUUUCUGAUUUGGAAUUCCUUUUUUGUAGACCAGGCAGAAGAUGUGAAACAAAACAAAACAAAACAACAAAAUAAAACAAAACCAACUCAGACUGACCAG
rnacentral:lncRNA from 1 species